UACGGAGGGAGCUAGCGUUGUUCGGAAUUACUGGGCGUAAAGCGCACGUAGGCGGCUUUGUAAGUUAGAGGUGAAAGCCCGGGGCUCAACCCCGGAAUUGCCUUUAAGACUGCAUCGCUUGAAUCCAGGAGAGGUGAGUGGAAUUCCGAGUGUAGAGGUGAAAUUCGUAGAUAUCGGGAGGAACACCAGUGGCGAAGGCGGCGAUCUGGGAAGAUACUGACGCUGAGGUGCGAAAGCGUGGGGAGCGAACAGG
rnacentral:rRNA from 1 species